CGGAAAAUAGAAUGAAGGAGGCUGAAAAGGUUUACAGCCCUCCGGAUGAGGAAAAUGUGCUUCCAAUCAUCUUUUAAAGCACUCAACGUGUGGAAGUGAAUUGCCAUCGAUUGGUACUCAGUUGUGGGGGAAGCACAGCUUUUCUUGUUUUGAAAUCGACACAUUUAAUGAAUGGAUUUCACCACUUCUUAAAGGCAAUCAUAGCAUGAACAUGAGUGUCGGCACACCCCUACUAUUUAACCUACAACUCAAAGCCUCUGGCAAUUCUUGUUAAUGCUUUACUGCAAGUGUUGUUUCCUAGGAAAGAAAUAAAGAAAUUAAAUCAAAAGUUUCUGGAACCAUUCAGAAUGAGUUGGCAUAGCCUGAACAUUUGAAUUUUCAAC